rnacentral:lncRNA from 1 species
GAGCACCCAGGGGGACCCGCAGAAGCGCGAGCGACGGCCCCGACCCCCGCGACCCCCGCGACCCCCGCGACCCCGUGCCCCAGGCAGGGCGGCUGGGGGUGGGGUGGGCCCAGAGGGACGGAAGCCGUUUCUUCUCUGGAGGAGCGUCCAGGCCGUUCGAGGGAUGGAGGCCCGAGACCCCAGGGGGCCGUGCGCUCCCGUGUAGGGGUGAAGCCUUCCCCGUGGCCCCGCAGACGCAGGCGUCGGUACUCUGCUGAAGCCGUCGGCUGCAGAAACUGCACUGCGAACUGUUGCGUUUCCAAAAAUCAGUAUCGUUGUCGGAUGACUUACAUUUUCCGAUAUGUUUUCAUCUGCAAUACUUAUAUAUUUUUAAAUAUUUUCCUUUACUUAUUUGAGAGAGAGAGAGAGAGCGAGAGAGAGAGCGCUCAAGCAGGAAGAGCAGCAGAGUGAAAGGGAGAAGCAGACUUCCUGCUGAGCAGGGGCUCGAUCCCAGGACCCUGAGACCAUGACCUAAACUGAAGACAGACCUUCACCGACAGAGCCACCCAGGCACCCCUCAUCUUCAAUAUUUAAAGUGGUCUCCGUAACAAUUCAGUGAAUGAAGUCGGGGUAACCGUUAAUAUUCCCAUUUUAUAGAUCAGAAAACUCAAGUCUCCUGGCCAGCCCGUGGCAAAAAUUAUAGUAAAAAAAAAAAAUGAGCGAUUUCAAUUCUAGUCUAGGAUUCUUUUUCCUCCCACACAACUGGCCAUAUUCUAUGACUACGGUCGUCUGACUUCGGCUGAAUGAGGAUCAUUUAGAAGGCGUGUGGCAGCACAGAGAGCGGGCCCCACCUCCGGCCUUUGUGGUUGGGUAGGCCGGGGAUGCAGCCCAAGGAUGUUCUCAUUCGUACCAUGGCCUCUCCACUUUUCCCCUGGCCUUCCCCUCCCUUCUCAGCCUCCCUUGCAGCUAAGGAUGGUCACGGGACAUAGUUUUGGCCAAUGAGGUGUAAAUGGAAGCUUUCUGGGAAAACCUGUGCUUUCCUGAUGACAAGACACAUACUUGCCUCUUCACCCUUCCUACCUCUUCCUUAGAACUUCUAUGUUCCGCCCAUCGUAGGACCAACUCAUUGAAACCAGCGGGAUAGGGAGAUGGGAGGAAGCUUCACGUCCGACAGGCCUGAGCCACUUACCCACAGGCUUC